rnacentral:misc_RNA from 1 species
GAUGAAGAACGCAGUGAAAUGCGAUAAGUAAUGUGAAUUGCAGAAUUCAGUGAAUCAUCGAAUCUUUGAACGCACAUUGCGCCCGCCAGUAUUCUGGCGGGCAUGCCUGUUCGAGCGUCAUUUCAACCAUCAAGCCCCAGGCUUGUGUUGGAGCCCUGCGGCUGCCGCAGCCUCCCAAAACCAGUGGCGGGCUCGCUAUCACACCGAGUGCAGUAGUUUACUCUUCGCUCAGGGCGUGUGGCGGGUGCUAGCCGUAAAACCCCCAACUUCUCAAGGUUGACCUCGGAUCAGGUAGGAAUACCCGCUGAACUUAAGCAUAUCAAUAAGCGGAGA